rnacentral:lncRNA from 1 species
AAAUGCCCCGUGUCUCUGCACCGUUAUCUAUUGCACUAUGAAUAUAUGUAGUCUACUUUACUUUAAGGAAUUAAUAGAAAAAUUUUCUAAGUGGACUCCUCUGUUGUAUCAGCUCAGAUGAGGCAUCUCUAACAGAGUUUAUCACAUUUUCUUGGAAACGUCCUGUCUUACUCUCAUUCCGGGAAGACCUGGGCCUCCAUCUUGUCCACGCUCUCCUGCGGGUCCGCUGGGGCCAGGAGGACCUGGACUACCACGUUCGCCUGCAGGACCCUAAAAAAGAGAUGUUGAAAUUCAGAGCAAGGGAAUCAGCAUCAUAAUGAAUCUGAAAUUGUCCAUUCAAGUUCACAUGGAUGCUCCAGAAGUUUGGGGUCUUUUUUAGAGGAAGACUUAUACCUUUUCACCUGGAAGUCCAUUGCUACCGGGGCUUCCACUUGUACCUGGAGGACCAGGAAGACCACGGCCUCCUGGCAGACCAGGAGCACCAGGAACACCAGCAGGUCCCUGUAGAGAGUGAAUGGCAGACAGGGAUGAAGAAAGCAUAGCAUCGUUGGACUCUGCCCAGCCCAAACAGUGACCUUCACCAACACAGCACAACAAUAGACAAUGAUAUGAAAAGUACCCACCAUUUCACCCUUGUUGCCAGGGCUUCCAGCUCUUCCAGGAGGGCCCUGAAAAAAAAAAAGUAUAAAUAACCAAUGCUGCUAACCUAGGACUAAACCAAAGGACGUGUAGGGCUUUGUGAAGAGCAGGUGGCACAACAUUUCUCAGUUCCCAUGUGGUAUUUAUGUACCUGAGGCCCGGGUGGCCCAGCAUUUCCCUGAGGACCAGGUUCUCCUCUCUCUCCAGGACUACCACUAGAACCAGCAGGACCAGGAGGACCAGCUUCACCCUACAGAAAAACAGUAAAGGGAGAAAUGAGUGCAUUUGAGUCUUGUCUCCAGGGCAAUCAGUAUUAGCGUCAUAAUUUCUUCCUCUACUGUGGCAUCUUUGCAUGAUUUGGGAAGAAGGUUACCACCAUCAUCACCUAAGUGCAAGAGCCAAAUAAGCACAGUGACCCUGGUGCUGAAGUACGAGUUACCCAUGGACUCCAGCCAGCACAUGCUGC